rnacentral:rRNA from 1 species
UUAAUGAAUUUAAAGUUGCUAAAAUUUUAUUUGUUGAUCAUAAUUAAUUUAAAAAGUAUUGGCGGUAUUUGGUUAAAUUCUGAGGAACUUGUUUAUUUAAAUUGAUAUUACACAUUAAAUUUCAUCUAUAAUUAUUUUUAUGUAUUGCUGUUUAAUUUAUUAUUUAAUAUUUAUAAUAAAUUUAAUUAUUUAUGUGAAAUGAAGUAUUCAAGUCAAAAUGUAGGUAUUUAUAGAGAUAAAUGAGUUACUUUUGCAAUAAAUUGUGAGGCUGUAAAGUUUAAAUGAAAUAUUUUAUGAAAGAAGGUUGGAUUAGGGAGUAAAAAGGAAAUAAUUAGUUUUUUUGAUAAGUUUUACUAAUAUGU